rnacentral:rRNA from 1 species
UACAGAGGGUGCAAGCGUUGCUCGGAAUUAUUGGGCGUAAAGGGUAGGUAGGUGGUCUCGUUUGUCAGAGGUGAAAGCCUUGGGCUUAACCUGAGAAGUGCCUCUGAAACGGCGAGACUAGAGUGCUGGAGAGGGUCGUGGAAUUCCCGGUGUAGCGGUGAAAUGCGUAGAUAUUAAGAGGAACACCUGAGGUGAAGACGGGUUGCUAGGCUGACACUGACGCUGAGGCGCGAAAGCCAGGGGAGCAAACGGG